UUUUUUACGUUUUAGCAUUAUGGAUUUUCUUUUCAAGUCUUGUUUUGUUUAUUCUAAAGCUUUUCUGAUUAAAAUUCUGAAAGGGUGUGAAAUUUUAAAGAGGACUUCCUAUGUGAGGCUGCUGAUAGGAAAUGUGAGUUUAGACAACCACAGUGCAACAUGACGUGCAGAACUCGCUCACACUGCAUUAACAGCUACUGCAAGCAGCAGAUACCAGACGGAUGUCAUUUUGAAUUCAGCAGAUGAAUGGAUAACAAUGGAUUUAAAUCAAACUGAGGAUACUUCUGAUAGACUCAAUCUAAUCAACUUUUCAUUAUUCGUCGUGUUUUCCAUCUUUUGGAGUUUUGUUUUUGUCCUGGUAUUCAGUAUCUGCUUGUUUUUUUUUUAUAUUCGGCAGAACGAAAGGUAA